rnacentral:rRNA from 1 species
CCGGCGCACGGGUGCGUAACGCGUAUGCAAUCUACCUUUUACAGAGGGAUAGCCCAGAGAAAUUUGGAUUAAUACCUCAUAGUAUUAUGAAAUGGCAUCAUUUUAUAAUUAAAGUCACAACGGUAAAAGAUGAGCAUGCGUCCCAUUAGCUAGUUGGUAAGGUAACGGCUUACCAAGGCUACGAUGGGUAGGGGUCCUGAGAGGGAGAUCCCCCACACUGGUACUGAGACACGGACCAGACUCCUACGGGAGGCAGCAGUGAGGAAUAUUGGACAAUGGGCGCAAGCCUGAUCCAGCCAUGCCGCGUGCAGGAUGACGGUCCUAUGGAUUGUAAACUGCUUUUAUACAGGAAGAAACACUGGUUCGUGAACCAGCUUGACGGUACUGUAAGAAUAAGGAUCGGCUAACUCCGUGCCAGCAGCCGCGGUAAUACGGAGGAUCCAAGCGUUAUCCGGAAUCAUUGGGUUUAAAGGGUCCGUAGGCGGUUUAGUAAGUCAGUGGUGAAAGCCCAUCGCUCAACGGUGGAACGGCCAUUGAUACUGCUAGACUUGAAUUAUUAGGAAGUAACUAGAAUAUGUAGUGUAGCGGUGAAAUGCUUAGAGAUUACAUGGAAUACCAAUUGCGAAGGCAGGUUACUACUAAUGGAUUGACGCUGAUGGACGAAAGCGUGGGUAGCGAACAGGAUUAGAUACCCUGGUAGUCCACGCCGUAAACGAUGGAUACUAGCUGUUGGAAGCAAUUUCAGUGGCUAAGCGAAAGUGAUAAGUAUCCCACCUGGGGAGUACGUUCGCAAGAAUGAAACUCAAAGGAAUUGACGGGGGCCCGCACAAGCGGUGGAGCAUGUGGUUUAAUUCGAUGAUACGCGAGGAACCUUACCAAGGCUUAAAUGUAGUUUGACCGGUUUGGAAACAGAUCUUUCGCAAGACAAAUUACAAGGUGCUGCAUGGUUGUCGUCAGCUCGUGCCGUGAGGUGUCAGGUUAAGUCCUAUAACGAGCGCAACCCCUGUUGUUAGUUGCCAGCGAGUCAUGUCGGGAACUCUAACAAGACUGCCAGUGCAAACUGUGAGGAAGGUGGGGAUGACGUCAAAUCAUCACGGCCCUUACGCCUUGGGCUACACACGUGCUACAAUGGCCGGUACAGAGAGCAGCCACUGGGCGACCAGGAGCGAAUCUACAAAACCGGUCACAGUUCGGAUCGGAGUCUGCAAC